AUAAAUUAUAUAAGAAGUAUUGAUUAUAUGAUAUAUAUUGAUUUUUAAUAGAACAUCAUAUAUUAAUAAAACUUAUUAACAAAAAAAUUAUUGUUCUAUAUUAAUAAGAACUCUGUUUAAUGGAAAAUUUAAUGGUAGGUACGUAGAUUUCUGAUGGUUUUCAUGUUGAAUUUGGUGGGAAGCCAGAUUAAUUGUUGGCAUCACCGAAAAAGAGCUAUGAAUGGAUUAAAAGAAAAAUGGCGUCUAUUUACGUUUGUAGUGCGAAGUUAAAAUGGCACUGAUACAGCUUGUGGCUUGUUUUUUUUCGAAAAUCGUGAAAGUUUCCGUGUAAUCAUGGUGAACACUUUUAAUCGUCGCACGCAAGCAUGUAUAUCAUUUGCCUGACGUUAAGCGAACGAGGAGGAUCUUCUAGUAAAUAUGACGUUGGAAUUUCUGGAAAAUGUCCUAUAUAAAGGUCAAACAAGAAGAAUCAAGUACUCAAACGCAAGAAAUAAAAAAUACCCCGAGAAAAGCAAAAUUACGACAAGAUGUUAAGGUAUUGAAACAAAAACUUAAAAGUCGCGAAAUAGUGAUUGUAAAUAUAAAGUCGAUUUUAGAUUUAUUAGAGAAAAAUGGCGAUUUUUAAUUGAAUUGAAAUUUAAAUUGCGAAAUUUUAAUGAUACUGAUGGUCCACUUAGAUAUUGAUUAAAAUAAAUUAUGUAUUUCGUUGAAAAAAAAGAAUUUACUUAAAAUAGAGGAAAUGUUAUAUUAUAAGACUACAGAAAAUUAACUGAACUUAAUAAUAAUAAUAUGUAUAACCAAUAUUUUGUAAAUAGAGAUCAAGUACUAUGUGUAUCGUGUUAUGUGUAUUGACUUGUCAUUUAAGAGUUAUUUAAUUGUCUACAUAUAACAAAUAAAUGAAUUUCAGUUCAUUUCAUUUUAUUA